rnacentral:rRNA from 1 species
AACUGGAGGAGGGUGGGGAUGACGUCAAGUCAUCAUGGCCCUUACGACCAGGGCUACACACGUGCUACAAUGGCGCAUACAAAGAGAAGCGACCUCGCGAGAGCAAGCGGACCUCAUAAAGUGCGUCGUAGUCCGGAUUGGAGUCUGCAACUCGACUCCAUGAAGUCGGAAUCGCUAGUAAUCGUGGAUCAGAAUGCCACGGUGAAUACGUUCCCGGGCCUUGUACACACCGCCCGUCACACCAUGGGAGUGGGUUGCAAAAGAAGUAGGUAGCUUAACCUUCGGGAGGGCGCUUACCACUUUGUGAUUCAUGACUGGGUGAAGUCGUAGCAA